UUUCUUAUUACGUUACACAAUUUUUGUUUGUAAACACCUUCUCGCGAGGCCUCCUCAGUCUUUCACGAGUGUUCGAAUUGAAAGGAUCGAACCACUUGAUAUUUCGAUCGAAAGUAAAUUCUAAUCAUAGUUAAUCGAAUCUUAUUUCUCGUUUCUUUUUUAUUAUUAGAUACGAAUAGAUGGAGGAAGGAAAGGAUCGGGAUGAUCAAUAGCGUCGUCGUCGUCGUCGUCGUCGUUGUCGUCGUCGUCGUCGUCGUCGUCGUCGUCGUCGUCGUAUCACGGGACCGUGACAGCUGUGUACGAUGAAGUGAGUCCCUGAGAACUCGAGGAAAGUGGAAACGUAAUUCCUACAUAGCUUUCUUGGAAUGCUUUUAUUAAAACUGUAAAAGCUUUGGAAUUCGACGCUAUGAAACUCCAAAUGUGGCUUAGUUGCGAUAGAAGCAGAGAAAUUUUCAUUUCUCCAUCUGCUUACGUAAAAAGAAGAAAUAGUGAAAAAAUUGGAGAAUGAAGAGGAAAGGAAAUAGAUAAAGAUAAAGAAACAUCGAAACUCAUUGGUAAGGAAACCUGACGAUCGUACCUGCGUUGACCAUGUCGACAAAUUCAAAGAGAGGCGUAAGAGGGGCCAAUUCUCUCGGUAGAAGAGAUGCAUAAGGAGGUAACACGUUGCAAGCAGGUACGUAGUACAUUCGACAUAGAGAGAGAGAGAGAGAGAGAGAGAGAGAGAGAGAGAGAGAAAAGGUUCCUAUCGUGUAACCGCGUGCCACGAGGAACGAGCACCUGUUGGUUGCUCGUGUACAGCUUUUACAGGGAAUUCCUUGGUCUCUCUCUCUCUCUCUUUCUCUCUCUCUCAUUCUCUCUCACACUGUGUAUGCGCUCGCGCGCAACAUCGGACUUUCGACCAAGAAACGAAACGUGUUCUUUGCUUCGCCUUGGAACGAAUAUUUCAUUGCAUUCGACGUGACAUACGUAAGUAAGUAUGUAUGUAUGUAUGUAUGUAUUUAUUUAUGUAUAGGUAUGUUAUGCAUUUAUUUACUACCUACAUUAAUACAGUAUAUAAUGUUAUCAUAUAUAGAUGUGCAUAAGUAUAUGAGCUUGCUUUUCAUACAUGCAUAACACAUUGUACGUGUUCCGUCUACGAUAGAGCAUAACGUCAUAGAUCGUAUCACAGAUAGUUAGGAUUUCCGUUCGGUCGAUUACCGUCCGUAUGUAAUAUGCAUCAUCAUUUUUCGAUCAUUAUCCUUUAGUUUUUUUCCCCUCGAGCAUGUGCAGAUCGUUCGUCAUGUCAUCUAGUAUCUGAUACGUCACUUGCAACUAGUAUAUACGUACGUAAACGUCCAAUUAAACGUGCCAAGUUCGUUCGCAUCAUUGGAUUCUUCUCUUUUACGUUUGUCGUUCUUUUACGUCGUUCGAACGUAAUAUGUAAGGGGAACUACCUAUUUGCGAACUUCAAUUUCCCGUCGAUAUUCUUUCUUUCUUUCUCUCUCUUUCUCUCUCUCUCUCUCUUGUCAUCAAUAUUUGAUUUUUAAAUCGACGUACUUAUUGCGCAUUUGGUCUUUCCUCGUACGUUAAACUUUCUAAUUCCUUUGAGAAAAGUGAAUUCGUAUCUCCCCUUUUCGUAUAUAUUUUCAAAGUGUUUGUCAACACUCUCGUAAGAUUAGAGAUGCAGAGAAACGAGAUGUGCGUGCCCGCGUUUGUGUUUAUUUCGGUUACGAAUAAGAGGACGUACGAGACGUCGACGACAACGACGCGAAGGAAUAAUCGAAGAAACUGUAGUUUCUUUUAGAUAGGACUGUUCUCGAUCUUUUUUUUUUUCUUUUUUUUUUUUCCAAUCCAUCGUACAGUUUCCUUUUCUAAGCGAUAACCACGGAGAUGAUGUGCGAACUCACGAGAAAGGCUUAUGCAUAAUCAAUUGAACAACGCUACGAACAUUUGCAAGCAUGUUUUGUCGAUGAAAAUUGCAUCGUCACGGCCUAUCGAUGUUUAAUCGAACGAGGUUUCAUCCAUCAUUUAUCGACUGAUAAUAGAAUAUAAUUACUAUAUUAAGCAAGAAUAAUAAUUGAUAUAUAUAUAAAUAAAUAAAAUAGAUUAGAUAGGAUUAACUAAAUGUAAUAUAUAUAUGUAUAUAAAAGAAGAAGAAUAUUUUAAAAGGGUUUAAUUAACAUUGAUCGUUUAAUAAUGAUUCCUAUUCCAGCUCUUAAAAUAUAUUUUUCUGCAGAUGCCGUGUAACAAGAAGAAGUGCCGGCAACGUGAAUCGGCAACAUGAAAAAGCGUUGGAAAAUAAUUCGAUGAGUCAACGUAUCGAAAAAUUUCAAAGACGUUGGCAGGACGUUUAUAACGAUUCAAGCGUGAACGUUUAAAAUUCUUAUACGUCGCGUAUAUAAUCGUAAAAAACAAACGGAAAAAAAGAAGAAAAAAAAAAAAAAAAGAAGAAAUCUAUUGUUUGUAUAAAACGAACGAUGAGAAGAGUGAAAAAAUUAUACGCUUGGGAACUCGAUAUGUAACGCAUGAUGCGUUAUCAUCUGUUGUCAGCAAUAUGUGUUUACGCACAAUACGAUUUCUUACCCUCGUUUAUUAACGAAGCUUUAAUUAGUCUCGAAGAAGAAAGAAGAAAAAAGAAAAAGGAAGAAAAAAUAUUUUAUCUAGGGAGCGUAAGAAUAGGCGUAGCAAAAGGUAUGCAUAUAUAUAUAUAUAGACAGAGAGAGAGGGAGAUAGACAGAAAAAGAGGAAGAGGGAGAAAGAUAGAGAUCGUUGGCAGAUAUAAUGUUUACACACGGUAUCAUCAAACACUAGAAAAUUGAUUUAUUCGAUUAAACGGUAUCUCGCACAACGUUGCAUGUUUGAAAAAUUGCAAGAAUGCAAAGAGAAAAGAAAUUGAACGAACGUCGUAAGUUCAUUCGGUUCAUUCAUUAUGCAAUAACUAUUGUCGAGGAUGAAAUAAUAAGAACGCAGUAACUAUCGUUAUAAAGAAAAGGAUGCGUUUGUUUUCCCGCUAGUAGUAACUCGAAGCACCAUGAAGUGCACGUGACCGGGUGACACGUGACCUUUCUAUCUUUCGUAGAAAUAAACGAUAGAACGUAGUGGAAUUCGAUCGAAAUUCCGAAUUAAAAGACGUUCAAUGGUCUCAGGACAGAGAAGAUCGAAUUUUCUUUAAAGUUAACGCACCGUGAAGAUUUUCACGAAGAGCAGUUAACAUUCACUGGAAAUUUAUUCGGUUCUGGAGCGUGUCUCAUCGUUCGUGUUACCUGACAAACGUCACUCGGCCGUCCAAUUAUUUUACACUCUAAGAACCCAGAGCUGACACGGAGUUUUGCUGGUCCGUCGACGACGGCGAAUUUCCUAGAUCUACAUAGAAGCAUAGGAGAGAGCUGAUAAGAGAUUCCGGGUGUCUUGUAUUAUAUGGCACGACAAAAGCACACGAACAUCUUUGGGAAAGUAUCCUUAGAACCCUUUUUAUCCGGCUAUUACAUUUCUGCAGGUAGAAGCUCCGAAAGUCGAUUCCUUCUUCUAUACGAAUUUCACGAGUGCCGAAGAAACGUCCGUUUCGUGGAAAGGACGAAAGGACGAUCGCACGAUUUUGUCGUCAUGAAUUACCAAAGCCGCGAUAUACCUGCGGAAUCUUUUCUUCUUUAUUUCGUCCUUUUGGCCAACUCGCGAAAUGCGAUUUUUUCCGAUUCAAUUCCAAAGUAGAUCGUCCUUGCUUGGAUUCCAUUGAUCGCUAUGGUAUUUCAACGAUUCGAUCCCGAGUUGUUACCGGUAUUAAGAACGGCUCGAUUGUUCGAAAGUCAUAAUAAGUUAUUUCUUAGUAUAUCGGUCGAUCAAUGAAUAAUCGAGUUGGUUGAUUUUAUAAAAUGCGUGACACGAUUCGUCAGUGAAAUGAUUUCAUUCGGAGAAAUGAUCAGAUGUGGUCAUAGAUCUCGCGAAUGACAUAGCUCUUGCUGGAAUGUGACCGAUUCUUGGAAAGAUCUUGCGAAGGUCAUCGAGCCACGACGACCGACUUCUUCUAUUUUAGCUGAUAGCUACGCCGAUCUCGACGAUCAACCAACCGUCAUGACAGAAGUCCAUUAGAGCGUUACACCUCUGUCAUUAUAUUUACGAUCGGAUCGUUGAUCGCUGCUCUCGACGCGUUUAGAUGUGAUAACGUGAUAUAUACAUAGAACAUGAACGUUUGACUAUGAGAUUGGAAAUUUAAAAGUAGUUCUUUUUUUCUUCUUUCUUUUUUUUUCCUCCAUCCCUUUCUUUUUUUUUCCAUUUUUUCUUCGUUAUUGACUGGCCCGAUUCUCGAGGUACCGUUUAUAAAUGUUACAGCGAUGAAAUUUAUAUAGAUCUUCCAUCCAUUUAUUAUUAAUUACCUGUCAUUUAAUAGUUGAUAUAUGGAAUAUAAUAAAUUGCGUGUAAAUUUCGAA